UACGGGGGGGGCAAGCGUUGUUCGGAAUUACUGGGCGUAAAGGGCUCGUAGGCGGCCAACUAAGUCAUACGUGAAAUCCCUCGGCUUAACCGGGGAGCUGCGUCUGAUACUGGAUGGCUUGAGAUUGGGAGAGGGAUGCGGAAUUCCAGGUGUAGCGGUGAAAUGCGUAGAUAUCUGGAGGAACACCGGUGGCGAAGGCGGCAUCCUGGGCCAACACUGACGCUGAGGAGCGAAAGCGUGGGGAGCGAACAGG
rnacentral:rRNA from 1 species